GACGAACGCUGGCGGCGUGCCUAAUACAUGCGAGUAGAACGCUGAAGGAGGAGCUUGCUUCUCUGGAUGAGUUGCGAACGGGUGAGUAACGCGUAGGUAACCUGCCUGGUAGCGGGGGAUAACUAUUGGAAACGAUAGCUAAUACCGCAUAAGAGUAGAUGUCGCAUGACAUUUGCUUAAAAGGUGCAAUUGCAUCACUACCAGAUGGACCUGCGUUGUAUUAGCUAGUUGGUGGGGUAACGGCUCACCAAGGCAACGAUACAUAGCCGACCUGAGAGGGUGAUCGGCCACACUGGGACUGAGACACGGCCCAGACUCCUACGGGAGGCAGCAGUAGGGAAUCUUCGGCAAUGGACGGAAGUCUGACCGAGCAACGCCGCGUGAGUGAAGAAGGUUUUCGGAUCGUAAAGCUCUGUUGUAAGAGAAGAACGAGUGUGAGAGUGGAAAGUUCACACUGUGACGGUAUCUUACCAGAAAGGGACGGCGAACUACGU
rnacentral:rRNA from 1 species